GCCCUCGUGGCGGAAUGGUAGACGCUGCAGACUUAAAAUCUGUUGUCCGCAAGGACGUACCGGUUCGAGUCCGGUCGGGGGUAC
rnacentral:tRNA from 2 species